UGCCCUACGGGGGGCAGCAGUGGGGAAUAUUGGGCAAUGGGCGCAAGCCUGACCCAGCAACGCCGCGUGAAGGAAGAAGGCUUUCGGGUUGUAAACUUCUUUUCUCAGGGACGAAGAAAGUGACGGUACCUGAGGAAUAAGCCACGGCUAACUACGUGCCAGCAGCCGCGGUAAUACGUAGGCGGCAAGCGUUAUCCGGAUUUACUGGGUGUAAAGGGCGUGUAGGCGGGACUGCAAGUCAGAUGAGAAAACCACGGGCUCACCCUGCGGCCUGCAUUUGAAACUG
rnacentral:rRNA from 1 species